CGGAGGGUGCAAGCGUUAAUCGGAAUUACUGGGCGUAAAGCGUGCGUAGGCGGUUCGUUAAGUCUGUUGUGAAAGCCCCGGGCUCAACCUGGGAAUGGCAAUGGAUACUGGCGAGCUAGAGUGUGUCAGAGGAUGGUGGAAUUCCCGGUGUAGCGGUGAAAUGCGUAGAGAUCGGGAGGAACAUCAGUGGCGAAGGCGGCCAUCUGGGACAACACUGACGCUGAGGCACGAAAGCGUGGGGAGCAAACAGGAUU
rnacentral:rRNA from 1 species